GGAGUGAACGCUGGCGGCAGGCCUAACACAUGCAAGUCGAACGGCAGCACAGGGGAGCUUGCUCCCUGGGUGGCGAGUGGCGGACGGGUGAGGACAACGUCGGAAUCUGCCUUUUUGUGGGGGAUAACGUAGGGAAACUUACGCUAAUACCGCAUACGACCCCAGGCCGGGAGGUUUGGGGUGAAAGCGGAGGACCUUCGGGCUUCGCGCAGAAGAUGAGCCGACGUCGGAUUAGCUAGUUGGUGGGGUAAAGGCCCACCAAGGCGACGAUCCGUAGCUGGUCUGAGAGGAUGAUCAGCCACACUGGAACUGAGACACGGUCCAGACUCCGUACGGGAGGCAGCGAGGUAGGGGAAUAGUAGGACAAGUGGGCGACGAAGCCUGACGUCCAGACCCAUCGCCGCCGUGUGUGAAGACGGCCGUUCGGUUGUAAAGCUACGUUUUGGUUAGGGAAGAAAGACUACGUACGGUUAACGUACCGGUAGUCG
rnacentral:rRNA from 1 species